CAAUUGUUACAGAGCCUCAGGGGCACACAGUGUCAGCAGCAAUUUUAUGAAUUGGAUAUGUCUUUACUGGAAUUUAGGUUUACAGAUGAAUGCCCAGAGAUUAAGUUCUAUUGUUUCCAUGUUUUCAUUUGUAAUCUUGAAAAUGUUCUUGUGGUAAUACAAUGUUCUUUUGAAGAUUUCUGUUUCUGAUUUUGAUGGUGCUGUAGGAGUGUACUGCUUAACAUUUUGAUAAAAUUACAUGUUACGUAAGAGACCUAGGGCAUCUGUGUUUAAUUAAAGUCACGCUAGUAAAACUUUAAACUAGCUCCAAAUCUGUCAGAGAGUCAUCUGUCCACACUGAGUCAGUACGUGCUUGUCCUAACAGCAGCUUACUUUCUACAUUACAAACUUUUUAAAGUCUUUUUCCAUCUUGGCUGGGCUUUAUUAACACAUGUACUGAAGUUAUACACUCUCCCUGGUGACAGCUAACAAUCAAGUUUUGAGUGCAGAAAAUAACACCAAAGCAAUGGCUGAACUCAAGGAGUUUUAACAGAAGAUCCAUAUUCUAGUUUUGCCAAAAGAAUUCCUUUGUCUCUGGCUGCUAUACCUUCAGGGAAAUGAAAAGGGAAAUUCUCCAAGGUAGGUGUUCUGGUGUGAAGACCCUUAUCAGUCAUGCUGAAAUAUUAAGAGUCAGUGCUGUCACUGUGGCUUUCCCAGGUCAUCACAGAAAAAAAAGAACAUUACUUGGGUUUGCCAAAACCCAACUGGUUUCCAUUUUUUCCACUAAAAGGCAACAUUGGAGGUGACUGCAUAAUCUGAGGAGCAGUUGUGGGUAUACUCCUUUUAUGGAAGUGCAGGAAUAGGGCUUGUGGAUGUCUGCUCACACUCAUGUGAUUACAGGAUUUUGUAUUCAAUAAAAUUUGCCACUAGAAAACA